UACGAAGGGAGCUAGCGUUGUUCGGAAUCACUGGGCGUAAAGCGCACGUAGGCGGACGUGUCAGUCAGGGGUGAAAUCCCGGAGCUCAACUUCAGAACUGCCUUUGAUACAGCACGUCUUGAGUCCGGAAGAGGUGGGUGGAAUUCCUAGUGUAGAGGUGAAAUUCGUAGAUAUUAGGAAGAACACCGGUGGCGAAGGCGGCCCACUGGUCCGGUACUGACGCUGAGGUGCGAAAGCGUGGGGAGCAAACAGG
rnacentral:rRNA from 1 species